UAAAUAAAUAAGGGUGAAAUCACGGACAGUACUGUUAGUUCAAAUUCGCAUUAGAGCAGCAAUUACCAGUGUGAUUUCGUGUUAGUGUAAAAAUCAACAUCAGGUGAUUUUCUCACAGAGUAGCCUUUUCAAUAUUCCUUAUUGGUUUAACAUUCAAGAUAAUGUUAAAGAGUGAGUUUCUCACAGAGUAGCCUUUUUAAUAUUCCUUAUUGGUUUAACAUUCAAGAUAAUGUUAAAGAGUGACUGUUUGUUCAUAGAGUAACCUUUUCGACUUCACUUGAACAUUCACUUUCUUUAAACGUCACUUUACCUUUCUUCUGUUGAGUCUUUAUAUUUAUU